rnacentral:rRNA from 1 species
UUGAAAGGGAAACGAUUGAAGUCAGUCGUACCUGUGGGUAAUCAGCCUUUUGGGUGUGAUUUUGUGGAGUGUGAGGAGUUAAACGCCUUCAUGCCUGCAUAUUCGUGCACUUUGGGCGUAUUUACCCGUGUGGUAAGUUAACAUCAAUUUCGGUGAUCAUAAAAUGGCUGGAGGAAUGUAGCUUCGAUCUUGUAUUGAAGUGUUAUAGCCUUCGGUAGAUGUGAUGAUCGGGAUUGAGGAUUGCAACGGAUACCCCUCGGGGCUACCUGUCUGAUCUCUGAUCGUUGCUCUGGUGCCGAAAGCUUGCUUACGGUUAUCAAAGUCGAUGGUCAAUAGGUUAGAACGGGUUAAAUUCGUUAAGGAUGUUGACGUA